rnacentral:rRNA from 1 species
GACAGAGGUGCCGAGCGUUAGGCGGAAUCACUGGGCUUAAAGCGUGUGUAGGCGGGUCGUUAAGUACCUUGUGAAAUCCCCCGGCUCAACCGGGGAACUGCUGGGUAUACUGGCGAUCUUGAGCGAUCUAGGGGCAGAUGGAACAAGUGGUGGAGCGGUGAAAUGCGUAGAUAUCACUUGGAACGCCAAAGGUGAAAACAAUCUGCUGGGAUCUGCUGACGCUGAGACACGGAAAGCCAGGGGAGCGAACGGG